AACGAACGCUGGCGGCAUGCCUAACACAUGCAAGUCGAACGAGACCUUCGGGUCUAGUGGCGCACGGGUGCGUAACGCGUGGGAAUCUACCCUCAGGUUCGGAAUAACUCAGAGAAAUUUGAGCUAAUACCGGAUGAUGACGUAAGUCCAAAGAUUUAUCGCCUGAGGUUGAGCCCGCUUAGGAUUAGGUAGUUGGUGAGGUAAAGGCUCACCAAGCCGACGAUCCUUAGCUGGUCUGAGAGGAUGAUCAGCCACACUGGGACUGAGACACGGCCCAGACUCCUACGGGAGGCAGCAGUGGGGAAUAUUGGACAAUGGGCGAAAGCCUGAUCCAGCAAUGCCGCGUGAGUGAUGAAGGCCUUAGGGUUGUAAAGCUCUUUUACCCGGGAUGAUAAUGACAGUACCGGGAGAAUAAGCUCCGGCUAACUCCGUG
rnacentral:rRNA from 1 species